rnacentral:rRNA from 1 species
GACGAACGCUGGCGGCGUGCUUAACACAUGCAAGUCGAACGGAAAGGCCCUGCUUUGGUGGGGUGCUCGAGGGGCGAACGGGUGAGUAACACGUGAGUAACCUGCCCUUGACUUUGGGAUAACUUCAGGAAACUGGGGCUAAUACCGGAUAGGAGCUCCUGCUGCAUGGUGGGGGUGGGAAAGUUUCGGCGGUUGGGGAUGGACUCGCGGCUUAUCAGCUUGUUGGUGGGGUAGUGGCUUACCCAGGCUUUGACGGGUAGCCGGCCCGGGCGGGUGACCGGCCACAUUGGGACUGAGAUACGGCACAGCCCCCUCUGGUAGGCAGCACAGGGGAAUAUUGCCCUAUGGGCGGAACGCUGAUCCAGCAACGCCGCGUGCGGGAUGUGGGCCUUCGCGUUGUAUACCGCUUUCGUCUGUGACGAAGCGUGAGUGACGGUAAUGGGUAAAGAAGCACCGGCUAACUACGUG